rnacentral:lncRNA from 1 species
UGAUCCACAAGCUUCCAAGGAAUCAGCUGUAUCUAUCUCCCAUCUCCUGGAUAUCUUCUACACGAGAAGUUCAUACAGAGAUAAAAGAAGUAGGUGGUAAAGGAUGACCAGCACGAAGGAGAAGGAAACUAUCAAUCAUUGAAUGCUUAUAAUGUGAAAGGCCACCUUGAUGGAUUUCUUAGAAAUGACUUUCACUUCUCCUAAAAGCAUGUAAGGUGACCCAGAGACGUACUUCUCUCUGCAAAUUUAUAAAGCCAUUGGAGUAUCCAGCACAGGACACCUCAUAGAGAAUAGGAGAUAACAAACAACUAUUUGCUCUAGUCAAUGGGAGGCAUAGUCUCAGGAAAUCCCCAGGAGGAAGACUUGGACAUGAGCAAUAACGAAGACAUGACAUAAUCUUCACAUGAUUGGGACGACAAUACCUUCUACUAGUCAAAUAUAUAUAUAUUUUUAUUGAUUUUUAUUGAAGCGCCAUGCAUGGCAAAAUGUCCUUUUCAUGGAGCAGUUGGUGAUGGGCAACCAGAGAAAACGACACAUGCAAGACCGAGUUGGCAAUGAGCGGCAGAAGUGAGAAACAGUGCAUGCGUAUUUGGAAUGGCCAGCAGACUUUACAAUCUGUUGCGCUGGAAUUUUAGGGACUUACCACAGACAGUGUUUGUUAUUGCAGAGAGUUUUUGUUUCCCAGGAGGAAGGAAGAUCAACCAAAAGAAAUACAACAGUAAAAAGUACACAGAUGAUACAGCAAAACAAAAUCCUGGACUAUAAACCACAAAUGGCCCGAUGGAUUUGCUUGGGAAUAGCUGGCGAGAUCUCCUAUCUAAUGCCUCCAUUCUAAGGAUGUUUACUGAAAGAGAACAUUGAGUAAUGCUUGCACUGGCCCUUCAGCAAAGUCCCCCUAUUAGCAACCACCGCCGCAACUCUUUGCGGUUUGUUAGCCGUCUAUUAUUUCUUAUUGG